rnacentral:lncRNA from 1 species
AAUGUCUUUCAGUCAGUAGAGCAUCAAUGGAACUAAUAUAGAAGCUUGGAUGUUUUGCUUUCAGGUCAAUUGGCUGCAAUCUGGCUUCACUCAACUUCUCCCUACGUGUCGAGAUCAGAUAUUCUCUCUAAAUACGCUCAGAUUAAUUACAAAUCUGUAAGCCGUGGGAUAGAUAUGUGGAUAGAUAUGUA